GAUGAACGCUGGCGGCGUGCUUAACACAUGCAAGUCGAACGGUGAAGCCCAGCUUACUGGGUGGAUCAGUGGCGAACGGGUGAGUAACACGUGAGCAACCUGCCCCGGACUCUGGGAUAAGCGCUGGAAACGGCGUCUAAUACUGGAUACGAACCACGAAGGCAUCUUCAGUGGUUGGAAAGAUUUUUUGGUCUGGGAUGGGCUCGCGGCCUAUCAGCUUGUUGGUGAGGUAAUGGCUCACCAAGGCGUCGACAGGUAGCCGGCCUGAGAGGGUGACCGGCCACCCUGGGACUGAGACACGGCCCAGACUCCUACGGGAGGCAGCAGUGGGGAAUAUUGCACAAUGGGCGCAAGCCUGAUGCAGCAACGCCGCGUGAGGGAUGACGGCCUUCGGGUUGUAAACCUCUUUUAGCAAGGAAGAAGCGAAAGUGACGGUACUUGCAGAAAAAGCGCCGGCUAACUACGUGCCAGCAGCCGCAGUAACAC
rnacentral:rRNA from 1 species